UUAUUAUUAUUAUUAUUAUUAUUAUUUUGCACAAACAAAAUUGAAAAUCCUGGCUGUAUAACAUCACCAUACUCAUUAUCUGCUGUCUUCCAAACCUGGAAGAAAAAUGGUACUACUUGGAAAAAACAACAACUAUAUACCCAAAUAAUUGUAUAUUCACUCCUGAUCACUCAUCUUCUGGUUUAGAGUAUUUUGCUAGAUUCUUUUUCAUACUCAACUGUUUUAAGUCAGUUUUUUUUUUAUUUCUCUAGCAUAACAACAUGUUCUGUUAUCUGAAUAAUUACAUCUGAACUUAAACCAGAAAAAAUAGUAUGAAGGAAUUAAAUCAUGCUGAUGCUAAUUUGGAUGUUUCAUACUAUUUUGAAAUAGUUUCAGUUUAUUUACCUAUCAGUUUAUGGAACCACAUAUAUCGCUGAAUGUUCACAGAGGUGUUUAUUAAUUUUGAACAUGUGAAUAAUAAUAUAGAUUUUCAAUCUAAUUUUAGUAUUCAAAUGAAAUAUAGCCCUUAGAUAAUGAGUGUCCUAUUUAAAUUGUGUUCAUCACAGAAUUCUAUUUAACACUUUUUAAAAUUUUGGCUGAAAGUAAUGAUUUCCCAGGUAAUGUGUUUUUAUAUAGUUCUGAAUACACUUCUAGGCUGUUAGAUCCUACCUCAUGGGACAGAGAAGGCAGAAUUGAAGUGUUACCCAUAGAUUGAAGCUGACUAAGGAAUGAAUUAAAAAAGAAAUUAUACAUAAAUUACAUAGGAGUUCAGAUUGGUUGACUCUAUUCGUGUUAAGUUUGUACCUUGUCUUGUUUUAUAAAUUUUACAGUCACUUUGGAUCAAAAUUUCCAUUUUGUCUUUAUAUAUAGUUGAAAAACCUCAGAUUUUAAAAUAACAUUUUUACAGAGAUUUCAGGCUAUUUUACAGUAUUAAAUCUCCAAGGAAACUCCUUGAAGUGUCUUAGUUCAGUAAUGCUGAUUUAGUGUAUUCUAAUUAUGUGUCAUCUUCUAAUGCUGAUUUUGUGUGGCAGAACCGAGCUGGGUCGUCAAAAGCUUCACACCCAGGAUUUAUUUUACCAACUGGAAAGAGCAAAUGAAAAGGUUAUUGAGAGCGAAAAAUUAAUGAGGGAAUAUCAAGAAAAAGUCAACAGACUUCAAAAUCGACUAAAUCAAGCAGAAGAGAGGGCAACUACAGCAUCUCAACAGCUCAGCGCCAUAACAUUGCAGAAGAAAAAGGCCACCUACUUGAUAGAGCAAAAAGAAAUGUGAAGUAAUAUGUCCUUUCAUAGUCUUGAAUGACUUAACGACAUGCCCAUUUGUUUUCGGAAGAAAGCCGAAUGCCAUUUCAAAUCCUCUAUCUUAGGUGCAUCUGGGCCCAAUGGUGAACUGUUGAAGAGCACCAAAUUUUCCAUCGAGGAGAAAGAGGAAGGCAUACCUGGAGAGACACCAAUAAACAUGUUAAAGUUGUUCUAAAAUUACUCAUCCUGUAUUUACCUUCAGUAAAAACUUCCAUUAGUUGUACUAAAUUCUUACUGGAAUGAAUGGAAUUUAAAAAUGAAUUUAAUCCAA